UCUUAUUCAGAGUGGUGGAGGUACAUAGGACCCGUGAAGCCACGGCAACCCCUUUUUUACAGGAAGGUGCCAACCUGAGCAUUGCCUUACGGCGGAUGAACAA
rnacentral:ncRNA from 1 species